GCUGCCAGUCUGCAGGGAGCUGUCAGUCUGCAAGGAGCUGCCAGUCUGCAAGGAGCUGCCAGUCUGCAAGGAGCUGCCAGUCUGCAGGGAGCUGUCAGUCUGCAAGGAGCUGCCAGUCUGCAAGGAGCUGCCAGUCUGCAAGGAGCUGCCAGUCUGCAAGGAGCUGUCAGCCUGCAUGGAGCAGUCAGAGCUGUCAGUCUGCAGGGAGCUGUCAGUCUGCAAGGAGCGGUCAGUCUGCAAGGAGCUGUCAGUCUGCAAGGAGCUGUCAGCCUGCAUGGAGCAGUCAGAGCUGUCAGUCUGCAAAGAGCUGCCAGUCUGCAAGGAGCUGUCAGCCUGCAUGGAGCAGUCAGAGCUGUCAGUCUGCAUGAAGCAGCCAGAACUGCCAGUCUGCAAGGAGCUGCCAGUCUGCAAGGAGCUGCCAGUCUGCAGGGAGCUGUCAGUCUGCAAGGAGCUGCCAGUCUGCAAGGAGCUGCCAGUCUGCAAGGAGCUGCCAGUCUGCAAGGAGCUGUCAGCCUGCAUGGAGCAGUCAGAGCUGUCAGUCUGCAGGGAGCUGUCAGUCUGCAGGGAGCUGUCAGUCUGCAAGGAGCGGUCAGUCUGCAAGGAGCUGUCAGUCUGCAAGGAGCUGUCAGCCUGCAUGGAGCAGUCAGAGCUGUCAGUCUGCAAAGAGCUGCCAGUCUGCAAGGAGCUGUCAGCCUGCAUGGAGCAGUCAGAGCUGUCAGUCUGCAUGAAGCAGCCAGAACUGCCAGUCUGCAAGGAGCUGCCAGUCUGCAAGGAGCUGCCAGUCUGCAGGGAGCUGUCAGUCUGCAAGGAGCUGCCAGUCUGCAAGGAGCUGCCAGUCUGCAAGGAGCUGCCAGUCUGCAAGGAGCUGUCAGCCUGCAUGGAGCAGUCAGAGCUGUCAGUCUGCAGGGAGCUGUCAGUCUGCAGGGAGCUGUCAGUCUGCAAGGAGCGGUCAGUCUGCAAGGAGCUGUCAGUCUGCAAGGAGCUGUCAGCCUGCAUGGAGCAGUCAGAGCUGUCAGUCUGCAAAGAGCUGCCAGUCUGCAAGGAGCUGUCAGCCUGCAUGGAGCAGUCAGAGGUGUCAGUCUGCAUAGAGCAGCUAGAUCCGCCAGUCAACCAGAAUCUUCCAGAUCUGCAAGUCAACCUGAAUCUUCCAGAUCCGCCAGCCAGCCAGGAUCUACCGGAGCCUACUACCUACCUGAGCUUCAUCUCAGUACUGGGCUUCCUCUCAGUACUGGGCUUCCUCUCAGUACUGGGCUUCCUCUCAGUACUGGGCUUCCUCUCAGUACUGGG
rnacentral:lncRNA from 1 species